GUCCUAGCCGUAAACGUUGGGUGCUAGGUGUGGGGGACAUCGACCCCCUCCGUGCCGAAGCUAACGCAUUAAGCACCCCGCCUGGGGAGUACGGCCGCAAGGCUAAAACUCAAAGGAAUUGACGGGCCCCGCACAAGCGGCGGAGCAUGUUGCUUAAUUCGAUGCGACGCGAAGAACCUUACCUGGGCUUGACAUGCAGGGUGAAACCCGUGAAAGCGGGCGCUCUUCGGAGCCUGCACAGGUGGUGCAUGGCUGUCGU
rnacentral:rRNA from 1 species